rnacentral:rRNA from 1 species
GGGACGAACGCUGGCGGCGUGCUUAACACAUGCAAGUCGAGCGGUAAGGCCUUUCGGGGUACACGAGCGGCGAACGGGUGAGUAACACGUGGGUGAUCUGCCCUGCACUCUGGGAUAAGCCUGGGAAACUGGGUCUAAUACCGGAUAUGACCUGCUCUCGCAUGGGGGGUGGGUGGAAAGAUUUAUCGGUGCAGGAUGGGCCCGCGGCCUAUCAGCUUGUUGGUGGGGUAAUGGCCUACCAAGGCGACGACGGGUAGCCGACCUGAGAGGGUGACCGGCCACACUGGGACUGAGACACGGCCCAGACUCCGUACGGGAGCAGCAGUGGGAAUAUGCACAAGUGGGCGAAAGCCUGAUGCAGCGACGCCGCGGUGAGGAUGAAGGCCGUUUCGGGUUACGUUAAACCUUCUUUCGAGUCGAGGGACGAAGGCGACGAAGUCGAACGGUACCUGACGAAGAA